rnacentral:rRNA from 1 species
AACGCUAGCUACAGGCUUAACACAUGCAAGUCGAGGGGCAGCGGGAUUGAAGCUUGCUUCAAUUGCCGGCGACCGGCGCACGGGUGAGUAACGCGUAUCCAACCUUCCGUACACUCAGGGAUAGCCUUUCGAAAGAAAGAUUAAUACCUGAUGGUAUGAUGAGAUUGCAUGAUAGCAUCAUUAAAGAUUUAUCGGUGUACGAUGGGGAUGCGUUCCAUUAGGUAGUAGGCGGGGUAACGGCCCACCUAGCCUACGAUGGAUAGGGGGUUCUGAGAGGAAGGUCCCCCACAUUGGAACUGAGACACGGUCCAAACUCCUACGGGAGGCAGCAGUGAGGAAUAUUGGUCAAUGGGCGCGAGCCUGAACCAGCCAAGUAGCGUGAAGGAUGAAGGCUCUAUGGGUCGUAAACUUCUUUUAUAUGGGAAUAAAGUUUUCCACGUGUGGAAUUUUGUAUGUACCAUAUGAAUAAGGAUCGGCUAACUCCGUG